GUGCAGCAGGCCACUAUUUGAAUGUGUGUUGCUCCUUGUGGCAGGUAUACUGUUCCAAUGCCCUGGGAUCUCUGUAGUGGUCGGUACUGUAUUGAUUAUAAAUGGUGAAGUCCUAGUAUCUUGCUAGAGUGAGCUGGCCAGGAUGGUGGAGCUCUACCACCAUUUCACAGGUUAUAGACAGGGGCCACCAGGUUUCAGGAAAGCAGCAAUGACCCCUCAGUAAUAGUUGGAAAGUGUGAUAUGACACUGAGCUUCACUGUGUUGGUGAAGAAGAGGUGAGGAAAAUAAAAGCUGCAGUUUGCCUCCACCUCUGAAGAAGCACAAUACACCUUUCUGGGUUACCAAUGGGAUACUUCCCAACAGCUUUGUCAUCACAUACAAUAUUCUCAAACAAGAUCUUAAUGGCAUCUACUUUCUCCAGGAACACAGCCCCUGACCUGUGUGUGUUUGCGUAGAGAAGGCAUGCUAUGUACCCCCUAGGAUAUCAAGAUUCCUGUAGCAGAUUGAGCUCUGGCAGUUGAUCUCAGUGGCUUGAUAGAGUGUCAUUAUAAAAACGCACCUGGAAGAUUCUGUGGAAAAGACAACCUCAGAAGACCAAGAGGCUGACUUUGCAAGAGAGAGUCCGUUUACCACUUAGAACCGUGAACACCACCCCCGCCCUCAUUUAUCUCCAGACUUGAACUAGUGGUUAAAUCCCAACAUGUCCCAGAGAAGUCAAAAGCAUUGUAAAAUCUGGGAAUCUGCCCACCACUCAAGCCUGGGAAAGCUGGCAGAGGAUGCACGUGUUUUACUCACCUGAGUGUUUACAAUGCUCGUGAGGUGCCUCCCUGAUAUUUUUAUAGCAGAAUGGAGAAACACAACCAAGGAGAUACACCUAAGUAACAACAGCAAUGAUGUCAAAAAGAGUGCCUGAAUACUUAGGGUGGAGGUCCUGGACAUGCAAACCCAAGCUUCCUCUUUGCUGUGGCCAGGAAUCUGCAGUGAUUGAGAGCACAGACUGUAUCUAAAAUUCCACCUUUCAAAGUUCAGCAUAUUACUUUUUUUUUUCUUACACCUAUAAUAGAGGGAAAGAAAGGAUGUUCCUAUCCAUUCUUAAGGUACAGAGGAAUGAAGAAGGAAUAAACAGACCUUCUGGAUAAUUGCAUCAGCCUUCCCCACUAUUCCAAUGCCAUGCUAACAUUUCAAGUAAUGUCCCUUUUGUCUUGCUGAGAAAAAAUCAUUUCAUGAUUUAUUACACUGGAUUAAAGGCUAUGCACACUCUGGAGUUGGAACAUGACUGAAGGGCAAGCAAGCAUAAAGGAUAUCAGAAACAGUUGAUGUGUUUAAAUUUUUCUGAAUUUCUCAAGUAAACUUUUUAGAAAGUAGUCUGAAGAUAAAAUGGUUAUAUAAGUUACUUAAACUGUAGAUGAUGGCACCUUUAUCCCUAUAUAAUAAAAUUAAGAUAACUCUUCUGGGCACUUUAUUUGGAAUUAAUUAUUUAAUCCUCAUAACAACGCCAUGAAGAUCAUACUAUUACCAUCCAAAGUUUACUGAGGAAGAUACUGAGGCAAGAUUUACAAUCCAAAGCAGAGUGGGAGGAAGAGACCUACAAGACCAUGUUUCAUUGGAUAGCUUUGGAGUAAUAUCUAUAAUUUUAGAAAAAAGUUAAGAGGAAGAAGAAACUGGUGUCAGCUACACUUAGAAGAUUUUACAACAGAGACUGGCUUCCAUUCACUGAUCAGACAUUCACUGAUUUUUAAUUCUUACCACCAGAGAAAAAGUUGUUAUGAUGAGGGUCCUCAGGAAAGACAAUACAGUCAGCCGAGAAAUACAAUUUUCUUUGUCUACUGUUGUUUCCUUUACACGGACCAUUGAAAUAUAUACUUAACCACCAGCAAAACUCCUAUUAAACACAAGUAAAAAAAAAUCACUACAUGCAAAAGAGUGAACACCAGGCAAAGUGAUAAUUUAUGAAUUUCCAGGAUUUUUGUUGUAAUUUACCCGUGUAAGUUUACAAUAAAUGAUUGAUGUAACUAAA
rnacentral:lncRNA from 1 species